rnacentral:lncRNA from 1 species
GGAUGGGAGGCCAAGGAGGAAGAGAGAGGUAGACUGUUUUCCAAAAAUAUAUAGACAUUUCUGCCUCAUGACUCUUAGAUGCAGAGUUUAGCUAAAAGCUAUCUCUAGCUUUGUACGGCUGGUCCCCAGCAUGAGAUAGUGGGGUGAUUGUUCUCCCCAGAUAAUCUGUAGCCAUAAAAUAACCGGCCUUAGAAUUGUGUCCAUUCCUGUGCUGCUCAAAGUGAAGUCCAAGGGCUGGCAGCCUGAGCAGCAACUGGGAGCUGGUAGGAAGCGCAGAAUCCCAGCCCCGCUGAGAAGAAUCGACACUUCAACAGGAUUCCCAGGCUCGUCUCCCGUGUGAUCUUCCCACUCUCUCAUCAAGAGGUGGAGUCUAACUUGUGUCCUUUGAUUCUGGAUUAGUCCUGAGCUAACUACUGCCAGUCCUCUUUUUUGCUGAAGAAGCCUGGCCCUGAGCUAACAUCGUGCCCAUCUUCCUUUACUUUACAUGUGGGACGCCUACCACAGCAUGGAGUGCCAAGCGGUGCCAUGUCCACCACACCCGGGAUCCGAACCAGCGAACCCCGGGCUGCCGAGAAGCGGAAUGUGCGAACUUUGCUGCGCCACCUGGCCGGCCCCUCACUUCUCAUCUCUCUUGAACCCUUUUGCUCUACCAAAAUCAUUUUUUGUCACUCUAAAAUAUUUUGCUUGAAGUCAUAUAUUGUUGUGUUUUCUG